GGGGGGGGGGGCAAGCGUUGCUCGGAAUUACUGGGCGUAAAGGGCGCGUAGGCGGCCCGGGAAAGUCUCACGUGAAAUCCCACAGCUCAACUGUGGAAUUGCGUGGGAAACUGCCAGGCUUGAGUCCGGGAGAGGAGAGUGGAAUUCCCAGUGUAGCGGUGAAAUGCGUAGAUAUUGGGAGGAACACCGGUGGCGAAGGCGGCUCUCUGGACCGGCACUGACGCUGAGGCGCGAAAGCUAGGGGAGCAAACGGGAUUAGAUACCCCGGUAGUCCUAGCCCUAAACGUUGAGCACUUGGUGUGGCGGGUAUCGACCCCUGCCGUGCCGAAGCUAACGCAUUAAGUGCUCCGCCUGGGGAGUACGGUCGCAAAGGCUG
rnacentral:rRNA from 1 species